CUACGGGUUGCAGCAGUGAGGAAUAUUGCACAAUGGGGGGAACCCUGAUGCAGCAACGCCGCGUGGAGGAUGACGCAUUUCGGUGUGUAAACUCCUUUUAUAUGUCAAGAAAUGACGGUAGCAUAUGAAUAAGCACCGGCUAACUCCGUGCCAGCAGCCGCGGUAAUACGGAGGGUGCAAGCGUUACUCGGAAUCACUGGGCGUAAAGGACGCGUAGGCGGGUUGGAAAGUCAGGUGUGAAAUCCUACAGCUUAACCGUAGAACUGCACUUGAAACUUCUAAUCUAGAGUAUGGGAGGGGGAGAUGGAAUUAGUGGUGUAGGGGUAAAAUCCGUAGAUAUCACUAGGAAUACCUAAAGCGAAGGCGAUCUCCUGGAACAUUACUGACGCUAAGGCGUGAAAGCGUGGGGAGCAAACAGGAUUAGAUACCCUAGUAGUC
rnacentral:rRNA from 1 species